CGUAGGGUGCGAGCGUGUCCGGAAUUACUGGGCGUAAAGAGCUCGUAGGCGGUUUGUCACGUCGUCUGUGAAAUCCCUCGGCUUAACCGGGGGCGUGCAGGCGAUACGGGCAGACUUGAGUACUACAGGGGAGACUGGAAUUCCUGGUGUAGCGGUGAAAUGCGCAGAUAUCAGGAGGAACACCGGUGGCGAAGGCGGGUCUCUGGGUAGUAACUGACGCUGAGGAGCGAAAGCAUGGGUAGCGAACAGGAUUAGAUACCCUGGUAGUCCAUGCCGUAAACGGUGGGCGCUAGGUGUGGGGUCCUUCCACGGACUCCGUGCCGUAGCUAACGCAUUAAGCGCCCCGCCUGGGGAGUACGGCCGCAAGGCUAAAACUCAAAGGAAUUGACGGGGGCCCGCACAAGCGGCGGAGCAUGUGGAUUAAUUCGAUGCAACGCGAAGAACCUUACCUAGGCUUGACAUAUACAGGACGACGGCAGAGAUGUCGUUUCCCUUGUGGCUUGUAUACAGGUGGUGCAUGGUUGUCG
rnacentral:rRNA from 1 species